CCUACGGGUGGCAGCAGUGGGGAAUAUUGCACAAUGGGGGAAACCCUGAUGCAGCGACGCCGCGUGAGUGAGGAAGUACCUCGGUGUGUAAAGCCCUAUCAGCAGGGAAGAAAAUGACGGUACCUGACUAAGAAGCCCCGGCUAACUACGUGCCAGCAGCCGCGGUAAUACGUAGGGGGCAAGCGUUAUCCGGAUGUACUGGGUGUUAAGGGGGCGUAGACGGCUAAUCAAGUCAGGAGUGAAAACCCAGGGCUCAACCUUGGGACUGCUUUUGAAACUGAGUAGCUAGAGUGCAGGAGUGGUAAGCGGAAUUCCUGGUGUAGCGGUGAAAUGCGUAGAUAUCAGGAGGAACACCAGUGGCGAAGGCGGCUUACUGGACUGCAACUGACGUUGAGGCUCGAAAGCGUGGGGAGCAAACAGGAUUAGAUACCCCAGUAGUC
rnacentral:rRNA from 1 species